UAUAGUAUCUAUGAAAUGACUGAAUUAUGGUUAUCUGUUGCAGUCAUAUUAGAAGAUGUUUGAGAGUAGGAAUAGAAUUGAUUAUGAUAUUUUUGUUUUGUUGUUAAUUUUUAUUAUACAGUAAUGAUGGAUUCACAGGAGAUUGCAGAGAAAUUUACAGGGACAUUCUGGGCUCCUUUCCCUAUGUAAACAAUCUCAGGCAACCACGACACAACAUCCACACCAAGAAACUGAUGUUACAACCCUUACUUAGUUACUCCGAUUUCACCAGUUGUAUUCGACUCCAUGAUAGUGGGAGAUAUAAACUGGGAAUUUAAACAGUCGAGGCAUUUUGAUCUUUCUAAUGCACAGAAGAAUCAAGAGAAAAGAAGUUAGCACCUUGUCACCCUUUGGACCAGGACUUCCAGGACCGCCUCUUUCUCCAGGCAUCCCUUGCAGACCAGGAGUACCAGAAGCACCAGGUGGCCCAGGGGGACCAGCAGGGCCCUAAAAUCGGGAGAGAG